ACCAGGCCACAACAAUGGCCGCCGCCAAUGUCCCAGUCCCUGGAGAGGUCUCACCCCUCACCGAGAUGCACUCAGGGCCUAUUAGGGUGCCAUGACUGGUGGCUGUUCCUUUUUACAGCCAACAGGAUUCUCCAAGUCACACACAAUGGGUUUGUUCUGUUGACGACUCCUCCCGCAACUGCAUAUCAUCUCAUCCUCUCUGCUCUGUAACACUAGAAGAGACGAGGCAAGAAACAUUGUAAAAUUUGUCCAUGAAGAACUUUUAUUAAGACAAGAAAAAAAUGCAAGCAUGAGUCUUACAUGUGUGGACAAAAGGAUGACAAAAAGAAUCAUAUAUUCAUUUCACUCUGCCAUCAUAUUAAACAUGGAUAAAGACUUUACUUAAAUACUGCUGAUGCCAAAAUGAGUCCCAGCUGAGAUCUUACAAGGGCAGAAGGAAAGAUUAGUUUUCCUCCCCUGCACUGUGAAGCAGCUACAAAAUGUUGCUAAUUUUCUCUUGAGGAGAAAUAGAACGAAAAUUCAAUAGAAGUGUUGAUUGACACAGGUAUGUAUUAGACAGACAAUUCAAUGAAGUGAAAGAACACUGGAAUGGAAGGCAAAAUACCUGAGAUCAAGAUUCACCUCUUACCAUCAACCUAGUGUUGACUUUGGAAAGCUACUCAACCCAUUUCAGCUUUUGCAUCCUCACUUGUAAAAUGAGAGGGUUAAAUUACAGAAGUCCUGUCCAGCUUGGACCUACAAUCAAGUGUCAUUAAAAAUUCACUCAACAAAUACAAGGUCCAUCCUUUCCACUGCGGUAGUAGAAAGAAUAGGAUCAUCAGGGAACCUAGAGUGCAAUCCCAGCUUUCCUACACCAAAGCAAUUCGCUAACCUCUCUGAACCUUAGAUUUCAUGGGGCAUAAUAUACGUCCCCUGGCUCACCUCACAGAAUUAUUAGGAGAAUGAAUAAGAUAAAUGAAUGCAUUUUGUAAGUUGUAAAGUGCUAAACAAAUGCAAAGUAAUAUAAUACUAAUUGUGAAUUCCUCACACAAGCUAUUAAUUCAUUGACACACACUCAGCAAAUAUUUUGAGUACCUGGUAUAUGGCAGACACUGUUCUCAGCAUUGGCAGUCAGCAGUCAAAAAGGCAGACAAUAAGGAAAGUCUGAGAAACUGUCAGAGCAAAGAGGAGUCCAAGUAAACAUGACAACUAAAUGUAAUAUGUUAUCCUGGAUGCGAUCCUGGAACAGAAAAGGACAUUAGGUAAAAACUGAGGAAACCUGAAUAAAUAAUAAACUUUAGUUAAUAAUAAUGUAUCAAUAUUGGUUCAUUCAUUGUAACACAUGUAUUAUACUCAUAUAAGAUGUUAAUAAUAAGAGAAACUAUGUGUGAGGGAGGGGGAUCGAGGGGAAGAAUACUUGGGAACUCUCUGCUCAAUUUUUCUAUAAACCUAAAACUGUUCUAAAAACUAAAAUCUGUUUUUAAAAAAAGGUGUCAAGACUCUCAUGGAACAGUGGGAAGAAAAAUAUUAAAAGGUAAACAAAUGAUUUCAGGUAGUCAUGACUGUUACCACAAAAAUGAAAUAAGAUGCUGUGACAACUGCAAUAAUAUGUUGAGGGACUGCUGUAAAGGGACCUCUCUCUGGGUAAAGUGAUUUUCCAUCUGAAACCUGGAUAAAAACACAGUGCCAGCAAGAUGGCCUAGAGAAAAGCAUUCCCCUCCACAGUAACAGUAAGUAUAAAGACCUUAAGAUGGGGACCAAUUUCAAACGUCUGAGGAACAGAAAUAAUCUGUGAGGCUGAUGUGUAUUUAACAAGGGCGAAGGUAGGGUGAGAUAAGUUCAGAGAAGUAGGACUUGCAUUCUCCAGAAAACCACAGAAUGUUCUAGCAUUUUGGUGUAGUGUAGACUAAGGAUGUUCACAUGAAAUGGUGCAGCUCCUCUGUCCUAACAAGAUUGAGAGUAAAUCCUAGGGGCCAGCCGCUCUCUACAAGUUAAUAAAAACUUCAUGACACCUACAUGCUAUUUCCUGAAGUCUUGUUUUGGGGAAGCUGAACUUCAAAGGAAAAAUCAUAACCAAUGUGUUUUCAUCAUUAGCCGAAAGCCAGUUUCCUCUGUGUAAGUACCAUAGAAGAAGCUUCAAAUUUUCUGCCCAUCAAGUUUCUCAGACAGCAUUUCUAUUCAUGAGUAGGUAAACUCCCCAGUGUCUAAAUGUAUCACCAUUAUGUCUACAUUCCCCUCGCAGGUUUUUUUUUCUUUCGGUAAUAGGUGUCACUAACAGGUAGUUGGGGAGCUCUAAGACCUACUUGCUUCAAAGGACCCUUGAAUCAUCCAGUCCAUCAACCACUAUGGUGUCGUACUCCCUCCUUCCACCCAACUCUGCCCAGCACUGACUUCAGCCCCUUUUCAAGAAAGGCAAUAUAGCAGCAGCCUUUGUCACUGCCUUUGUCUCCAAUUCCCUGCCCUAGGCUGAGACAGGCAGCAUCCCCAAACCCCGCCUUGGCCACUAUGCGGUGCUUUUCACUUCUUUAAGUCAAAUUCUUGACUCAACUGUGUGAACAUAGGCCCCAAAGAGAGAGGCUGUAUGAGAGAGCAGCAAGAGCAGUGGACUGGGAGUCAAAAGAACAGAGUUCGAGUUUAGAUGCAGCCACUUUCAGAGCCUCAAUUCCCUCACGUGUGCAAUCAGGAUAAAAGUCUUUCCCUGCUGUUCUGACAAGGUUGUGGUGGGAAUCAAGUAGCUGUUAUCUGUGGGAAAUGCUUUAUGAACUUAGGCUGCUAUAUAAAAAUGGAGAGAGGGAUAAAGGGAGUAGUUUCAAGUUGGUAAGUUUGACUUAAUUGAUCAUCAGUUAUGGGAAGAGCACUAAGGAAGCAUGGCAGGGCAGUGGGAGUGUGAAAAAAUGAACACUUUUCCAUUAAGGAGUUAGGAAUUAUGCUACGGAGCAGAGGUCCAUGCGUUUGGGGUCCACUGUGCUACACAACUCUAGGGGACGCCAUUUGCAUUGUGGUCUAUGCAUAUAUUUGAAAGACUUAAGUAAUAAUGCAAGUUCACGUCAAUGAAAAGAU